rnacentral:rRNA from 1 species
AGAAUCAACGCUGGCGGCGUGCCUAACACAUGCAAGUCGCACGAGAAAGGGGAGCAAUCCCUGAGUACAGUGGCGCACGGGUGAGUAACACGUGAAUCAUCUACCUCCGAGUGGGGAAUAACCUAGAGAAAUCUGGGCUAAUACCGCAUAACACUUACGAGUCAAAGCAGCAAUGCGCUUGGAGAGGAGUUCGCGGCCGAUUAGCUAGUUGGCGGGGUAAUGGCCCACCAAGGCGAUGAUCGGUA